UGAGGAAUCUUGCGCAAUGGGCGAAAGCCUGACGCAGCAACGCCGCGUGGAGGAUGAAGGUCUUCGGCACGUAAACAUCUUUUAUGUGGGAUGAAAUUAUUGACAGUACCACAUGAAUAAGGGGCCCCUAACUCUGUGCCAGCAGGAGCGGUAAUACAGAGGCCCCAAGCGUUAUCCGGAAUCACUGGGCGUAAAGGGUGUCGAGGCGGUUGUAUUAGUCGUUCGUAAAAUCUACGAGCUUAACUUGUAGGCGGCGAACGAAACGGUACGACUUGAGGUUUGGAGAGGUGCGUGGAACUCACGGUGUAGGGGUGAAAUCCGUUGAUAUCGUGGGGAACACCAAAGGCGAAGGCAGCGCACUGGCCAAAAUCUGACGCUCACACACGAAAGCUAGGGUAGCGAAGAGGAUUAGAUACCCGCGUAGUCCCUGAGCGGGCUGGCAAGGCGCAU
rnacentral:rRNA from 1 species